UAAAAAUACUAUUUUACACCACGCCCAGGUAACCAAAUCAGCAGGUUCCUGCGCAGAAGAGAAGCCCAGGUCAUUCUGCCGGCCACCACCUGAGCCAGAGGACAGGCCCUUUUGAGCUCUCUGAAAACCGCAGGAAAACCAGUGGGAAGGCCCGGAGUGAUCUCCGUCAGAAAGCCCUCCAGGUUGCAGUACCUUGUAACCUAGCCAAAGGGGGAGAAAAAUCCCACUGGGUUUCUGAGUUUUUUAAUUUCCAAAAAUAAGGAAACCCCAAUCAAUCUGAGAGUCGUUCCACUUCACAAAGCUCCAAGAUGGUGGGUGGUAAGUUUUCAUCAGGGCACUCACCACAGGCCUUAUUACUUACCAGUGCCAAGGCAAAUCCCACCCACCUGGGAGAUGAUUCAGAGGUGAAGGCCCAGGGGCAGCCUGAGGUCAUCCAGCCCCACCCCUUAAAUUACUGAACACUUGACCUACCCCAAGUCACUAAGCAAAAAGCGUGAAGCAAGAGGGACAAACGAGAUAUAUCUGAAGUCCUGAGUCGAAGUUUCUAAAGGUCAGAGGUGGUAACAAAGCCAGGACAGGAGCUCAGUCUAUUGCAGAUACCUCCAUCUGCCUAUCAGUUGAGGCUGGUGAACCUCUCAUCAAAGGAACCAAGGCCAGAGACCUUUGCUGCCUUGGGGAGGAAGAAAUAGUCCUCUUCCGUCCUCCCCUUCAACUGCCAGGUCCCAAGCCUCCGCACCCGACCACACUCACACACCGUAGGUGGAAAUCUCCAUGUUAAGUAGAGGUGGCAGUUACGUUCACCCCUUGUCCUUUCCUUCUUCCUCAGAGCUCAAAAGGACGCGAUGUAAGCGCGUGGUUAUUGUACAAGGACUCUGUCUAAAGCAGCCAUCCUACGUGAACAGAAACUUAAAGACACAGCAAGCUUAGGGCCAGGAGCAGCCCCUGAGCAGAGGGUGGAGUAAGGUGAGCAAGAGUUGUGAGAAGGUAUCGUCAUCCUUAAGAGGAAGUGGUGGACCAGCCCUGCCUGAUGUGGAGAGCGGGGUACACGUGGUUGCCUGUCUGUCUGAAAUGGGGAAUACAGACCUUUGCUAAAAGCCAAAAGAAGGCUUAGAGUGGUCUUUCCACCUUAUAAUUCCAUAGACUCCUAUCUCUGGGACCUGCUGCCUGACAAACGGGGGCAAAAGCCAAAUUCGCUUAGGAACAGCCUCGUUCUCAAUUCCCCUCUUGAACUUGCAGGAAGGACCCUUGCGCCUUAGAGCCGGAGAAGCCUCAAAGAAACAAGUGGAACUGUUUAAAUCAUUGUUUGACAAACACGUUUGACAGCAGAAUCCCAGGUGUGCUCUAGAACUCACUUUGGGCAACACCUACUUCCUGAUUGGGGACUUGAUGGGACCGUUCCACGGCCCUAUCUGGGCCUGGGCUGAGAGUACUUGUAUCUGGGACCGGGAGAACCCAGAUUCUAGCCCAGGCAGUCCGCAAUCAGCAUGGGACCCCAGGUUCCUCCUCUGUGGAGAGGACUGGCCCUCGCCGUGGUGUUUUGCGCUUUCUUCUCCAACAUGCCCUGGAACAUUAAAGCCCCGCCCUCAUCACUGGUUAUUUAGCCAACGCGAUUAUUUAUGAACAGUUCAGUGUAAAGCCCCGCGACCCUCUCCAGGCCAUCGUAACAACUGAACUGACGGCAGUGAGAGAGGGCUGCAGGUGAGAAGACCUGAGGGAUUUUCAAAGACGAGGAGGAAUCUGAGGCAGGCCUGGAAAGACGGGCUUCUGAACAGGAUCCUUCAAAUUGACUCCAGGGAAAACGAUACCCAAGUGGGAACUUGGGUCAAGCCUGGGACAGGAAGCACAGCUGGACUGCGUGGAACUGGGGCAUCAUUAGGUGGUUUUCCUCUCCAUUCACCUCUUGCCCUCUGAGACCAAGUUGUCUUUCCUACCUCCCUCUAUAUGUCUGUGCACUCUCCUCCCUGAAGGCCGGCUUCCUCUACUCAUGUAUCACCACACAUGGCUGCCAGCGGCAAGUGCAAAGGACCUUCUGAUUGCCAGCACCCACCACCUUCAGACUGCCUCAGCCUUCCGCUACAUAGUUCAGAUUCCCAGGGAAAUAAACUGAUCGGCUUGGCCUAAUUCAGAAGGAAGAGACACCCAGGACCACAGCUGGAAGACCCUCCAUCUCUUGAUCCUGGACAGGAGGGUAAAACUCUCCGACUGAGGCAGCCCUGGGCCCUACAGGUCUUCAGAGUCUACACACAGCUUUGUACACUGGGAAUGGAGGAGACAGGCCCCCAUAGCUCACCGCCAUCUCCAGCACCCAUGCCACCCUCACGUCCACGGCACUCCCAACUGGAUUUUGGUACCAAGGCCCAGGAGUUCAUUCCCUCAGAAACCACUCUCAGAUGCUUCCUUGAAAGCUUUUCUGGUGCCACUACUGGGAUCUCAUGUCCAGACUGGCCAAAGGCUCCAUAAAAAGUGGAUGAAGUAGAAAGCUGAGGUCUGUGGUUUCAUUCUUGAGAAACCCUCAACUAACCACAGGGAUCUGAUUCCACUGCCAUUUAGAGUCAUUCUCUGGCUUCUGGCAACACCAGCUCCCUCUGAAUCCAAAUUAAACCUCUCUCGGCUUCUUUGUGAUACCAGCUUCCUAGCAGAGCCUCCAAUGGUUAUGGUAAGAAAAAUAAGCCGGGCCCAGACCUUCCCGGAUCUCCUGUGAACGAACAUCCAAGUUACGUUUGCUGCGAACAAAAUUAUGCUUUGCUGCGAACAAAAUAUGCUUUACUAAGUCAAAGCAGGCUUUCUAUGCUGUUUUCCGGGGCUCCUCCCUCACAUCCUCCACUGCUCAUUUUUCUAGAUCAAAAUCUGCAACUCAUGGGUAGGAGGAAAGUUACUAAGGCUGACUGCCCUGACUUAUCGAAACAGAGCUAUUUGUUUCCUAAUUACAUUCUUAGCUCUACAGCACUGGCCAAAAAAAGGUCUGUUCAUUCAUUACGAGAACCAAUUAGUAAAAAUAAAAUCAUAAAGCUUACCCUUAGGAAGGACUUCACUCAUGGAUUCGGACAAGCCCCCAAUUUAAUGGGACAACUGAGGCCCGGAGAAGUGAAGUGACUUAGGGUCACAUGUCAGAACGCACACUGGUAGUUUCCUUUCCGGUGUCUGUUCUUCUCUCCCUUCUCAACAGCACCCAAUUCCCCAGCCUGGUGGUUUGGGCAGGAUUGAUCCCAUCAUCAGCUCCAGGGGCAGUGGACUGGUGUAGAAGAACAGGCAGGUCCAGCCAGGACUCAGUGGAUGGGCCAACACAUUUCCUGUCUUGUUCGGACACUGAACUGGAUUUUCUGUUAUUUGUAACCCAAAGCCUCCCAACACAUCCCCCAUGCAGAGUUAGUGGCAGAUACCACUUCUUGACUCCCUGUCCACGGAUGUUUCUGCCGGAGUAAAGUCUUUAACAUUACAAAAUAGAGAAAACUAAUCUAAAGAAAAAAAUACAAAUGGGGGACGUCCCUGGUGGUCCAGUGGUUAAGACUCUGCACUUCUGAUGUAGAGCACAUGGGUUCGAUCCCUGGUCAGAGAACUAAGAUUCCACAUGCUGCGGAGGGCAGCCAAAAAUAAAUAAAUAAAUACAAAUGAACUUAUUUACAAAACAGAAAUAGACCCACAGGCAAAACAAACCCCAAACAUAGUUACCAAAGUGGAAAGGAAGGGAGGGAAGAGAUAAAUUAGGAGUUCGGGAUUAACAUAUACACACUACUAUAUAUAAAGUAGAUAACCAACAAGGACCUACUGUAUAGCACAGGAAACUAUACUCAAUAUACUUAUACCUUAUAGGUAAUAACCUAUAAGGGAAAAGAAUCUGAAAAAGAAUAUAUAUACGUGUGUAUGUUUAUGAAUACAUAUGUAUAACUGAGUCACUGUGCUGUACAUCUGAAACUAACACAACAUUGUAAAUCAACUAUGCGUCAAUAAAAAAAAUAGAGAAAACAGCAUUUUGACAAAUUUAGUGACUGGACUUGAUAGGAAUAAAAAGAUUUGGGAGAAAAAUGAAAUUAAACAUUAUCGAUGAGCACUUUAAAAGUAUGGCUGAACGUAUAAAUUUGGCCAUAUUAAUAGAGCAUUACUGAUGAAGGGAGAAUUCAUAAAUGGAGAUUAACUGGAAAGAAUUCAUGGCUAGAGGGACGGCCAGCUCCACCUAGAAUUUGAUACAAACCAUGACUCCCAUUCAGGUCUCAAGAGUUUGACCCUAAGCUGAGCCCAUACCAACCUCCCUGAGGGACAAUAUCUGAAUUUUAUAUCCCCAGGUGCCCAGUUCCAGAUCGGGUGCUGACAGGAAGGUGAUGAUGGUCAUAGUGAAACGGAGCAGGACCCUGUGGUCCUCACCCGCCAUGUCCUCUGCCUGCAUUUUGUCUGUGGAAAAACUUCAGCCAAAGAAUAAGUUUAAUCAGAGAAGUCAGAAAAUGCAGAAACAAAGGAAAACAGUCAGAGGAGACCAAAUAAUAAUAGUUUAGUCAUUAAGCAUAGUCAAGGACCUUUAGUUCCUCCUUAAGGGCUAUAGAUAAUAUUCUGAGCCGUAUCCCAUGAGCUGUCAUAUAGAUACUGAGAUCCCCACCAGGUGGAAGAAGUUACCUACAUGAUGAGCAGGCUGUAGCCAUGACAUCAGCUGCCACAAUUCUGAGAACUGGCCUCAAAGAAAUGGGAACAAACCGACCCUGGAACAGAAGAUUAACUGUAGCUAAAACAAUCAAGAUGACGCUGGUCAGACCACAGAUGACCAAUUUCAAGAUGACGGUCAGAGCUGACUGUGCUGUUUCUGCACGUAGCCCCUUCCCUCCGUCUAUAAAAGUUCUUGCCCCCUGAUUGUCAGGGAGGGGGACUUGGCCUUUGGACAGGCGUCGGCCCUCCCCCUCCCCACUCCCGCCCCCAGCCCUCCCGGUUGCAGGCAUCCAAAGUAAAGCAAAUUCUCCUUUCCACCAACUUGGCCUCUUUAUUGGCUUUUGAGCGGCGAGUAGCCAGACCCCACUUUCAGUUACAAUAGUGCCUUAGUUUAUUGUGUAGUCACUACAGGAAGACACUGAGCUGUGUGUUGCCACUCUGUCAUCGAAGGCUCCCAACGAUCAACGUGAGGUAGAUUGAUCAAAGUAGACAGUCAACAAAUGAUACUGAAUGAACGACUUGCACAAAUGUAACUAAAUUAAGAUUCUAUUUAGUGUCAAUGAGAAUUCAUUUUUAGUAAAUCUAAAACUAUAAAAUUAAAAAGAUGAGUGUCAGUAAAUAUAAUAAAAUAUGAUCUAGUUAACAUUUAUUGAG